rnacentral:rRNA from 1 species
AGUGAACGCUGGCGGCAGGCCUAACACAUGCAAGUCGAACGGCAGCACAGUAAGAGCUUGCUCUUACGGGUGGCGAGUGGCGGACGGGUGAGGAAUACAUCGGAAUCUACUUUUUCGUGGGGGAUAACGUAGGGAAACUUACGCUAAUACCGCAUACGACCUACGGGUGAAUGCAGGGGAUCUUCGGACCUUGCGCGAUUGAAUGAGCCGAUGUCGGAUUAGCUAGUUGGCGGGGUAAAGGCCCACCAAGGCGACGAUCCGUAGCUGGUCUGAGAGGAUGAUCAGCCACACUGGAACUGAGACACGGUCCAGACUCCUACGGGAGGCAGCAGUGGGGAAUAUUGGACAAUGGGCGCAAGCCUGAUCCAGCCAUACCGCGUGGGUGAAGAAGGCCUUCGGGUUGUAAAGCCCUUUUGUUGGGAAAGAAAAGCAGCAGGUUAAUACCCCGCUGUUCUGACGGUACCCAAAGAAUAAGCACCGGCUAACUUCGUG